UGGCGCCGCCUCGUCCGUUGCGGCCACGGCGGACUCCGAGAGCUCCCCGGCCGCGAACCUGCCGGCGAGGUCGUGGAGGUAGGCCGCCUUGCGGGCAGAGACGCCGAUGGCGCGGAGGUCGGCGGCGGAGAGGGCGAGCACCGCGGCGGGGUUGACCACCGCGGCAUUGGGAUCGGCGGCGGCGGGGAGGCGCGUGAGGAAGCGAGCGUAGAUGGCGGCGGCGGCGGAGGGAGCGAGCGUAGAUCGGCUGUUGCUGGCCAUGGCGACGUCACGGAGGCGGACGCUGCUCAAGGUCAUCGUCCUAGGCGACAGCGGGUUGGGGAAGAUGUCCCUGAUGAACCAGUAUCCUUUACCUCCAUAGCUGCCUAG
rnacentral:lncRNA from 1 species